CACAGGUGAGCUCAUCAUCCCUCCCAAAUGGAUGAAAUGCUCCUUUCCCAAUGGCUUCCGAAGGUUUUGCAUAACUUGCAAGGUAUUUGUGACAUGGAUUGUAGAACUAGAGUCAAUCCACCAAGUAUUAUGACCAACGUUUGUUAGAUUAGAUUCAUAACAUACAAACAAAAGUCGUACACCUUUCUUGUCAAGCCAAUUUUUGAUCUUAAAGCAAUAUUUCUUCUUGUGUCCUUUCUUCUUUCAAGAGAAACACUUCGACUCUUUCUUAAUGUCCGGUUUGACAAAGAUCACGCCUUCGACUUUAGCACGAUGUUUAUUCUUCCUUUUAGAGAAGGUCAGGUUCAUUUUCUCAUCCUCUUCCAUAGCUAGCCAUCCCUCUUCUUGAACACACAUAGCCAAAAGUUCAUUAAUUGACCACUUAUCCUUAUGCGUGUUAUAAGAAAUCUUAAAAUGACCAUAUUGUUGGGACAGAGUGCACAAAAUGAAGUGAACCAGAAAGGUUUUUGAUAUGUCAACUUCCAAGGCCUUCAGUUGAGCCGCAAUAUCCCUCAUGUGCAUGAUAUGAUCACACACACCUCCCAAAAUGGUAAGCUUCAUGGAUGAGAAUUGUAUUAUAAGGGUACUUGAAAAAGCCUCAUCUGAAGUGACAAAUUGUUCGUCUAUUGCUUUCAUUAAGAGACGAACAUUAUCAUACUAAUUAAUAGAACCCCUAAUCCUAUCAAAUACUUUGGUCAUUAUGAGCAUAACGCAGAUGCGAUUAGAUCCAUCCCACUUUUCAUAACGAUCAACCUCAUCUAGGAUUCUCACAUUGGUGGUUGCAGGUGGUUCCAGAUUUUUUAUGACAUAAUCAAUAUUGUACAUCCAUCCCAAAUGAAGGAGAACUCUCUUCAUCCAGACCUUAAAAUUGCCACCCCUGAUUUCGGGAAUAUCAACUUCCACAUCAGAGAAACUAACAGGUUAACUAACUGC
rnacentral:lncRNA from 1 species